GAUGAACGCUGGCGGCGUGCCUAAUACAUGCAAGUCGAGCGAACGGACGCGACGCUUGCUUCUCUGAUGUUAGCGGCGGACGUGUGAGUAACACGUGUAUCACCUCCCUAUAAGACUGGGAUCACUUCGGGAAACCGUAUCUAAUACCGGAUAAUCUUUUGCACCGCAUGGUUCAAAAGUGAAAUACGGUCUUGCUGUCACUUAUCGAUGCAUCCGCGCUGCAUUAGCUAGUUGGUAAGGUAACGGCUUACCAAGGCAACGAUGCAUAGCCGACCUGAGAGAGUGAUAGGCGACAUGGGAAGUGAAACAGGGUCCAGAGGCCUAAGGGAGGCAGCAGUAGGGAAUCUUCCGCAAUGGGCGAAAGCAUGACGGAGCAAGGGCGCGUGAGUGACGAAGGUCCUGGGAGCGUAAAAACCUGUUAUGAGGGAAGAACAGAUGUGUAAGGAACUGUGGAGAUCGUGACGGUACCUAAUCAGAAAGCCACGGCUAACUACGUG
rnacentral:rRNA from 1 species